rnacentral:rRNA from 1 species
ACGUAAUAGAUACCCAGGUAGUCCACGCCCUAAACGAUGUCUACUAGUUGUCGGGUUUUAAUUAACUUGGUAACGCAGCUAAACGCGUGAAAGUAGACCGCCUGGGGAGUACGGUCGCAAGAUUAAAACUCAAAGGAAUUGACGGGGACCCGCACAAGCGGUGGAUGAUGUGGAUUAAUUCGAUGCAACGCGAAAAACCUUAACCUACCCUUGACAUGUACGGAAGCUCGGAGAGAUCUGAGUGUGCUCGAAAGAGAGCCGUAACACAGGUGCUGCAUGGCUGUCGUCAGCUCGUGUCGUGAGAUGUUGGGUUAAGUCCCGCAACGAGCGCAACCCUUGUCAUUAGUUGCUACGAAAGGGCACUCUAAUGAGACUGCCGGUGACAAACCGGAGGAAGGUGGGGAUGACGUCAAGUCCUCAUGGCCCUUAUGGGUAGGGCUUCACACGUCAUACAAUGGUACAUACAGAGGGCCGCCAACCCGCGAGGGGUAGCUAAUCCCAGAAAGUGUAUCGUAGUCCGGAUUGUAGUCUGCAACUCG